UGCUCAGUAGUCGGUGUAGGAUCUGUCUGACAUUAUUACCAACAGCUACAUCUGAUUACUGGGUCAC
rnacentral:pre_miRNA from 1 species